rnacentral:rRNA from 1 species
UACGAAGGGGGCUAGCGUUGUUCGGAAUUACUGGGCGUAAAGCGCGCGCAGGCGGUCUUCCAAGUCAGUGGUGAAAGCCCGGAGCUCAACUCCGGAAUUGCCAUUGAAACUGUGAGACUGGAGUACGAGAGAGGUGAGUGGAAUUCCCAGUGUAGAGGUGAAAUUCGUAGAUAUUGGGAAGAACACCGGUGGCGAAGGCGGCUCACUGGCCCGAGUACUGACGCUGAGGCACGAAAGCGUGGGGAGCAAAUAGG